AACUUAAACUGUUUAAUUUUCCAGUUUACUUAAUUAUAUAUUGUUAAACUAACGUAAAGGGUUUCAUUUCGCCAUUUAAAAAAAAACGGAUAUGACGAUUUCGAACGCGUUUGAUGAAGACGGCCCGAAGAAUGUGCAUCAUGGCGUCUAGAAGUACCAGUCAGCAUGCGUUUUAUCACUGUUUUCUUACUUCAUCGCUGCCUGAUGAAGAAAUGAAGGAAUGUCACAACUUUACUGACGGAGGAGAAAACAAGUAACUGAAGUGCUGUAUCGUCUUUUCAUCAUUUAUUAACAGAAAUAAUAGUUUCCGCAGGUCCUUAAAAUGUCUUAAAUUUAGUUGUAUCAAAUUUAAGGCCAUACAAGGUCUUAAAUGGUACAAGAAAGUAUUAUGAUUUCAAGAGGUCUUGCAUUUGCGGACAGAAAGACAAGAAUUGCCAUAAAGCUUAAUGUGACUAUUUAACUUCAAAAGGCUAUGAUUACAUUGAAUAAACAUGAGCAACGCAAGUUUCAAAGUCCUGUGCAGCGCUGCUUUGUGUAUUGCCGUUACCGGGGAAACAGUUAUAUUAUGCGGUCUAGAAGCGCCACCUGUUGGCAGAAAAUAAUUAUUUUGCUUUUUCAGUUUUUGUUAGAGCAACGUGAAAACUAGCAGUUUGCCAGAUGUAAUCAGUUUUAUUUUUUGGAUUCAACUUGGACUAAUCUAAAUUUUUAUGUAACUGAAUUUAAAAAAAUUAUGACCAGUCUUAAAAAAAAAAAAAAAAAAAAGGCUAACUUUUAAGACUAGUCCUAACCUUUUAUGCAACAGCCCCCAGGUCUUAAAAAGGUCUUUGUAAGUUUUAAAUUUGAUUUUAAAAAUCCUGCAGAUACCCCAGAUAUGUAAUCACGUCCACCCUUUUGGAAUGAUAAACAUAUUCAUUACUCACGCAAAUAAAUCAUUGAUUUGUUUUUGAUAAUUGAAUUUGUCUUUGCUGUUAAACUGUAUGGGUGUUCUUGUAACGAAUUGCACUUCAUGUGUUUACAGAUUUGUGCAGAAUUUGAGACGGAGAGAAUUAUGAUGGGACCAUUAGUGUCAGCAGUCUUUGCCAAAAUGGAUCCACACUGCAAAACAUAUGAUGUUUGCAAAUCGAAGAAGAGUCCUUGGACAAGGAAUUAAACCCUCUUGGUGCCCAUUACACAGACUAAUGAUAUUGAAGUACCCGACUGAAGACCCUAGCAGUCUUAUUAUGGAUUAUAUGGAUACAGAUGUUGCCAGCACUCAGGAGGUGAUCCAGAAGACCCAUGGGAAUCUGAUAUGUCAUAAGAUUUGAAGGUGCAGACAUUGAAGACAGCCCAGCAGAUGUUGGAGGGUUGGAAGAUAAAGUUCUUCAGGACCCUAGCAGUAUACCCCAUGCAAAACCAUGUUUCUGGGACUGAUAUAUGGACUGAACUUGAGCAACCCUCCUGACCUUGAUAUACACUUGAUCAUUUGUGACUCAUCUGGUCUUUUAUGACUCAAUGCAAGACAAUCACACACAAAUGCUUUGUUGAAGGGAGUAGCUUUAAAUAGAAAUUAUUUAGUUAAAGUAACUAGAACUAAUUGGAUGGAACCACUGUCCAUAAUUCAAAUGAGUUGUUUGAAACAAACGUCCUUAUGUUGAUAAAGUGAAACACAUUUGGCCAGUUUUUAAUAAACCAAAACAUGUUCACUGAACUUAACCGGUUUAAGUUACAGGGAAGUGAAUCAAUUAAGUUGGUUGGAUAUUACUAUUUCACAUAGAUUCUUCCUCAUUCAAUUGUGUUCACACAACACAGAGUUUGCAUAGGUUCAAAAAACUGCGUUCACAAAAAACUAUUUGGUUGUGUGGAACCACUGUCCAUAAUUGAAUUAAGUUAGUUUAAAGAAUCAUUUUUUUGAGAUAGGGUGGUUGUGUACACACACUGCCAAGACACAUUUCAGUUCAAACAACUUGUAAAAGUGAAUUUUGCAUCCGUUGACCCCUUUAAUUACUCACCCUCAUAUGGUUCCAAACCUGUAAUACCUUCGUUCUUAUUCAGAACACAAAGGAAGAUAUUUCUGAUGAAAUCUGAGAGCUCUCUGACCCUCCAUAGGCAGCAAUGUAACUGAAAUGUUCCCAGGCCCAGGAAAUUUUAAACUCAUUUAAUCUAAAUUAAGAUACAUCCACAUUUUUAAAGGUCACAAGGAAAGACAAGAUUUUGAGGCUAAUUUGGGUAAAAAAAAAAAAAUCCUCUCACAGUAGAAGAGGUUGAGGCAUUCAUUUCUGUAUGCACUACGGUGAACUAAUAUGCCUAUUUAUGUGUAAAAUCCAAAAUAAACAACAACUCAGAAACUAGGGCAGGAAAUGAGUGAUGUGAACCAUAGCAAGUUUUUUUUUUUUCUUU